GGAAAAUUGAGAUAAACACAGACAGAGCAUCGACAGCGAGUUUGAUUGACCAGAUCGUGAAAAUCAGACAUAUUGAAAUGUGACGUAUAUGUACGUCAAGUGAAAAGUUGCUGACAAACGACGGACGACUUAUCAAAAUGGAAAGGAUUUGGUGACAAGGUCAGCAUUCCUUGAUCGGUACAUUACACAUCAAUCAGGAUCCAAGUGAUUUUUAACUUCGUUAUUUCUUAGACGACAAUCCUAGUGUAGUCAGGGAGGUAUGGGAGUUCAAAGACAAUUCCAGUGUAGAUAUGGAAGUACUGGAGUUUAAAGACAAUCCUAAGGUGGACAGGGAAGUAUUGGAGUUCAAAGACAAUCCCAGUGAAGACAGGGAAUUGUUGGAGUUCAAAGACAGGGAAGUGUUAGAUUCCAAAGACAAUCCUAAGGUGGACAGGGAAAUAUUGGAGUUCAAAGACAAUCCUAGUGUCGUGAGGGAAGUAUUGUUGUUCAAAGAAUGAAGUUGAACAGAUUUGUUUCUGGUAUGUUUAUUCAUGUAUGUAUAAAUAUUAAGAAAUACCACAAUUGUAAAUACAAACACAUAAACAUUGUAAAACAGGCACCUAUAUAAAUACUUAGAGUAUAUAUAAGU